ACCAGACCCUUCUUCUCCUUUUUUUUCAGUUUUGGCUUGCCACGACCCCACCUUCACGCCUCCACCACCGCCACCACACGCCGCCACUUGGGGCGGCACCGGUUCCGUUGGAACCACCACACUCCCUACUUUCCAUUCCACCCAACCACCGCCUCGAUCCGCCGCCGUGCACGCCGGAAUCAGCCAUGAAAGGUAGCGGUUUGGACAGAUUUUUGUCAAACUUUCGGCCCUUCGUUCUCUCUCAUUUCUCCACCAAAUUGGACGAGUAAGGUACUCCGACCACGCAAACACAGCAGGCGGGACCCUCUCAGGGUCAGGCAGUGUGGGACUACUUCCAGUAGUCGACUGAGCUUCGCAGCUAGGCCGGAUCGUGUG